GGGCAGUUGGCUCAGUGGUAGAGCACCUCGUUUACACCGAGGGGGUCAGGGGUUCAAAUCCCUUACUGCCCA
rnacentral:tRNA from 2 species